GUCUGAACAAGAUACUUAUCUUUCUCCGACUAGCUCAUUUCGCUCACCAUAAUGCUCUCCAGAUCCAGCCAUGCUGCUGCGAAUGGUAAGAGUGCUUCCUUUUUCAUUGCUGCAUAGUAUUCCAUUGUGUAAAUGUACCACAGCUUUUUCAUCCACUCAUCUAUUGAUGGG